UACGUAGGGUGCAAGCGUUGUCCGGAAUCAUUGGGCGUAAAGAGCGUGUAGGCGGCUCGAUUAGUCCGCUGUAAAAGUCCAGGGCUCAACCCUGGGAUGCCGGUGGAAACUGUCGGGCUAGAGUCCGGGAGAGGCGAGUGGAAUUCCUGGUGUAGCGGUGAAAUGCGCAGAGUAUCAGGAGGAACACCAAUGGCGAAGGCAGCUCGCUGGAACGGUACUGACGCUGGAGACGCGAAAGCGUGGGGAGCAAACAGG
rnacentral:rRNA from 1 species